rnacentral:rRNA from 1 species
AAAUAGAUCCUGAAACCGUAUGCUUACAAAAAGUAGGAGCCUCGAAAGGGGUGACUGCGUACCUUUUGUAUAAUGGGUCAGCGACUUACAUUCAGUGGCAAGGUUAACCGAAUAGGGAAGCCGUAGAGAAAUCGAGUCCGAAUAGGGCGAAUUAGUCGCUGGGUGUAGACCCGAAACCAAGUGAUCUAUCCAUGGGCAGGAUGAAGGUGCCGUAACAGGUACUGGAGGUUCGAACCGACUAAUGUUGCAAAAUUAGCGGAUGACCUGUGGAUAGGGGUGAAAGGCUAAACAAACUUGGAAAUAGCUGGUUCUCUCCGAAAACUAUUUAGGUAGUGCCUCAAGUAUUACCGUCGGGGGUAGAGCACUGUUUUGGCUAGGGGGUCAUGGCGACUUACCAAACCAAUGCAAACUCCGAAUACCGACGAGUACAGCUUGGGAGACAGAGCACCGGGUGCUAGCGUCCGGACUCAAGAGGGAAACGACCCAGACCGCCAGCUAAGGUCCCUAAAAUUGGCUAAGUGGGAAACGAAGUGGGAAGGCUAAAACAGUCAGGAUGUUGGCUUAGAAGCAGCCAUCAUUUAAAGAAAGCGUAAUAGCUCACUGAUCGAGUCGUCCUGCGCGGAAGAUGUAACAGGGCUAAGCCAGUUACCGAAGCUGCGGAUUUGCAAUUUAUCGCAAGUGGUAGGAGAGCGUUCUGUAAGCCUGUGAAGGUGCGUUGUAAAGCGUGCUGGAGGUAUCAGAAGUGCGAAUGCUGACAUGAGUAGCGUUAAAGGGGGUGAAAAGCCCCCUCGCCGUAAGCGCAAGGUUUUCUACGCAACGUUCAUCGGCGUAGAGUGAGUCGGCCCCUAAGGCGAGGCAGAGAUGCGUAGUUGAUGGGAAACAGGUAAAUAUUCCUGUACCGAUGUGUAGUGCGAUGUGGGGACGGAGAAGGUUAGCUCAGCAGACUGUUGGAUAUGUCUGUUCAAGCCUGUAGUCGUGCCUGGUAGGUAAAUCCGCCGGGCUUAGAUGAGGGGUGAUAACGAGGAUGCUUGCAUCCGAAGUGAGUGAUACCCUGCUUCCAGGAAAAGCCACUAAGCUUCAGCUACACACGACCGCACCGCAAACCGACACUGGUGCGCGAGAUGAGUAUUCUAAGGCGCUUGAGAGAACUCAGGAGAAGGAACUCGGCAAAUUGACACCGUAACUUCGGAAGAAGGUGUGCCUUUAGUAUGUGAACCUGAACAAGGGGAGCAGAAUGAGGCCUCAGAGAAUCGGUGGCUGCGACUGUUUAAUAAAAACACAGCACUCUGCAAACACGAAAGUGGACGUAUAGGGUGUGACGCCUGCCCGGUGCUGGAAGAUUAAAUGAUGGGGUGCAAGCUCUUGAUUGAAGUCCCAGUAAACGGCGGCCGUAACUAUAACGGUCCUAAGGUAGCGAAAUUCCUUGUCGGGUAAGUUCCGGCCUGCACGAAUGGCGUAACGAUGGCCACACUGUCUCCUCCUGAGACUCAGCGAAGUUGAAAUGUUUGUGAUGUUGCAAUCUCCCCGCGGAAAGACGGAAAGACCCCAUGAACCUUUACUGUAGCUUUGUAUUGGAUUUUGAACAGACCUGUGUAGGAUAGGUGGGAGGCUUUGAAGCCGGAACGCUAGUUUCGGUGGAGCCAACGUUGAAAUACCACCCUGGUGUGUUUGAGGUUCUAACCUAGGUCCACUAUCUGGAUCGGGGACAGUGCAUGGUAGGCAGUUUGACUGGGGCGGUCUCCUCCCAAAGCGUAACGGAGGAGUUCGAAGGUACGCUAGUUACGGUCGGACAUCGUGAUGAUAGUGCAAUGGCAUAAGCGUGCUUAACUGCGAGACUGACAAGUCGAGCAGAUACGAAAGUAGGACAUAGUGAUCCGGUGGUUCUGUAUGGAAGGGCCAUCGCUCAACGGAUAAAAGGUACUCUGGGGAUAACAGGCUGAUACCGCCCAAGAGUUCAUAUCGACGGCGGUGUUUGGCACCUCGAUGUCAGCUCAUCUCAUCCUGGGGCUGUAGCCGGUCCCAAGGGUAUGGCUGUUCGCCAUUUAAAGAGGUACGUGAGCUGGGUUUAAAACGUCGUGAGACAGUUUGGUCCCUAUCUUCCGUGGGCGCUG